CAGUCGCAUCCAUUUGGACUCAGCCUUUCGGUGUAUUUCCUUAUGGAUGGGCCAGCGUCCAUGUGUGUCUGUCGGAAAAGGGGUGAAGGAAUGUGGCUCUUCCGGGAGUGUUAUAGCCUUUGCUCGUAUACGAGAGAUCAUAUGGAGUGGUACAGCAUGCUUCGGCGGUGCUUGUGCUGGCAUAAUGGCUUUAAGCGACCCGUCUUGAAACACGGACCAAGGAGUCUAACAUAUGUGCGAGUGUUU
rnacentral:rRNA from 1 species